rnacentral:rRNA from 1 species
AUAUGUAAUGUGNUUGCAGAAUUCAGUGAAUCAUCGAAUCUUUGAACGCAUCUUGCGCCCUUWGGUAUUCCGAGGGGCAUGCCUGUUUGAGUGUCAUU